AGCGAACGCUGGCGGCGGGCUUAACACAUGCAAGUCGAGCGGGCACUUUCGGGUGUCAGCGGCGGACGGGUGAGUAACGCGUGGGAACGUGCCCUCUGGUUCGGAAUAACUCAGGGAAACUUGAGCUAAUACCGGAUACGCCCUUUUGGGGAAAGGCUUGCUGCCGGAGGAUCGGCCCGCGUCUGAUUAGCUAGUUGGUGAGGUAACGGCUCACCAAGGCGACGAUCAGUAGCUGGUCUGAGAGGAUGAUCAGCCACACUGGGACUGAGACACGGCCCAGACUCCUACGGGAAGCAGCAGUGGGGAAUAUUGGACAAUGGGCGCAAGCCUGAUCCAGCCAUGCCGCGUGAGUGAUGAAGGCCUUAGGGUUGUAAAGCUCUUUUAUCCGGGACGAUAAUGACGGUACCGGAGGAAUAAGCCCCGGCUAACUUCGUG
rnacentral:rRNA from 1 species